UCCACCAAAAUAUAAGCAAAGGUAACAAGAGAAUGACUUUUUUUGUUUUCUGUUUUUCUCUAAACAAAAAAAACAUCUUAAAUUAAAUUCCAUGUCUUUUUGUGAAAAACAAAUUUUUUGCCUGGUUUAUUGGUUUGUAAGGUGGUGGUCUGAUUAAAAUCCGUUUGCAAGAGAUAAGAUCAAGAGAAAUGAGAAAGCCGAUGAAAGUGGAUGGAUGGACGGAUGGAAAAUCAAAGUGUUGAAACGUACACAGGCUGAAUAAGUCAUCUCUGCCACUCAUUCAGUUACAAUGACAUGCACAGUCAAAACAAAUUCUCACUACAUCUAGUGCGCCACUCCCCUGUUUCUCUUCUAGCCUGCAUUUGCACAUCGAUACAUUUGUGUAUUGGUCACUCUCUGUCUGGACACAUGAUUCCAAUACACGUCAUAUAUCAUCCGGUGUCUCGUGUUUUAUUCAGAGUCAUUGGUCGUGUAUGCAAACUAUUGUAUAGGCCAUUAAAGGGCCCAUAUCAUGCAAAAUCCACUUUUUAGACAUUUUGGAGCGUCCCUAUGACUCUAUGGGUCACAUAUACACACACUGAGCACGGUAGAAAUGCAUUUCCUGCUUUUUUCACAUUUUGAAAACGUAAAUUUUCUCAUUCAAUGAAAACAGCCACGACCUACUCUGAGGCCGUUUCCCAGUUGUCGUCACACUGGUUGAAAGUUCUCCUUGUAAAUCCUGAACCACCACCCCCACAAUGAUCCCGAACCAAAACUGGACUUCCGCCAUUUCCCCCCUCUCACUCACCGUGAACAGACCAGCACGGCAGCGCCCAAGUCCUCCCAUAGAAAUAGUUCGGUUCUUGGGUGUUCUAACCAACACCAAAGUCUCUUCACUUUACCAAGGGAUCAACAAGUGAGGAUUUGUGGGUCACUUUUAUUUUUAACGGACCGGUGCCAGAAACACGGCCUCAGCAUUUAUACGUAUGUGCAUUUCAAACGAGGGUGCGUACAAUGCUGGAUUUGUUUCACGGCUCCUGUUGGAAAAAAAGGACCUAUUCCUAAAGUCCGUCAUCCACUCACUGAAGAGGGCAAAUCCCAGUUGCCCACAUGCAAGGAGGCUGUCAAACAGAGAAAUCACUGCAGACUGUUGGUACACAGACAUCUGCUGCCCAGCUCAGGAGUGAAGGUAUGUAAGUUUGUAUGUACCAACAGUAAGAUAGGUAAUAGAAGAUUUUAAUUGGUAUAUACUGUUUAGAUUUUAUAUUUGAAUUGUAACAACUGUUUAUCUGUUGUUUUAGCGCAGACAGGCCUGUCCUCUUGUUUGGUUUAAUUUUUUGUCUGGUAUUGUGUGUUCUUACAUUAGAGAAGGUUUUGACCUACAUAAUAAUUAACAUUUCACUAAUCUACAAUUCUGAUUGCACUACCUUUUGUUUUGAUGAGGUGAUGGUGAGGACAGCCACAGCUUCCAUCUGGUAGAGGACUGCUUCCGCUCAGUCUUCCAAAUAGUGAUGAGAACAAGGAUCACCACAUCUCCCUGUUUACCCUACUUUCAUGCAUUUCGUCUGCAAGGCCCUGCAAAAGCUUCUCCUUCGUCCUCAAACCCCCAGACUUCUUAAUUAACUCAGUAACCUAUACAUUGCACAUUGGAGUGUGAAGGUAACAGUUUGUUCUAGCUUUGGAGUAGUGGUGUAUUUUUUUGGUUUACAAUAAAGUUGGCUUUAACUAUUAUGUAUUUCA
rnacentral:lncRNA from 1 species